GAGGGUGUAGCUCAGUGGUAGAGUGCAUGCUUAGCAUGCAUGAAGUCCUGGGUUCAGUCCCCAGUACCUCCA
rnacentral:tRNA from 1 species